UGGGGAAUAUUGCACAAUGGGCGCAAGCCUGAUGCAGCAACGCCGCGUGAGGGACGACGGCCUUCGGGUUGUAAACCUCUUUUAGCAGGGAAGAAGCGAAAGUGACGGUACCUGCAGAAAAAGCACCGGCUAACUACGUGCCAGCAGCCGCGGUAAUACGUAGGGUGCAAGCGUUAUCCGGAAUUAUUGGGCGUAAAGAGCUCGUAGGCGGUUUGUCGCGUCUGCUGUGAAAACUGGGGGCUCAACCCCCAGCCUGCAGUGGGUACGGGCAGACUAGAGUGCGGUAGGGGAGAUUGGAAUUCCUGGUGUAGCGGUGGAAUGCGCAGAUAUCAGGAGGAACACCGAUGGCGAAGGCAGAUCUCUGGGCCGUAACUGACGCUGAGGAGCGAAAGGGUGGGGA
rnacentral:rRNA from 1 species